rnacentral:piRNA from 1 species
UAGCAAACAGUGCUUGGCUCAGAGUGG